rnacentral:rRNA from 1 species
AUGGUGGCUCUGAACUCACUUCCGCACACUUGGAAACAGUUUAAAAUAUCAUUUUGUCACUCUGAAAGAUUACUGAACACGCGCAAUUUGAGGCAUCAUUUGAUCAUGGAGGAAGAUAGGAAAACUUCACAAGGGAAAGGGAGACACUCACAUCAUCAGGAGUUGCACCUUGAUCAAGAUAGGAGGCGUUGGCAGAAGAAGCAUCAAGGAGGUGAUUUGAGGGACAAAAUCAAUAGGAAGAGAAACUGGGGUGAUCAUAAUGGAAGAGGUCCAAACUCUAGUUUUGAUAAGAGGAAAUUUAGAUGUCAUGGUUGUGGAGAUUAUGGGCACUUUAGACCAGAGUGGAAGAAUAAGAAGCCUUAUAAACAAGAUGACAAGUCGAAGAAGCAGCACUAG